GUGCCAGCAGCCGCGGUAAUUCCAGCUCCAAUAGCGUAUAUUAAAGUUGUUGUGGUUAAAAAGCUCGUAGUUGAACCUUGGGCCUGGCUGGCCGGUCCGCCUCACCGCGUGCACUGGUCCGGCCGGGCCUUUCCCUCUGUGGAACCCCAUACCCUUCACUGGGCGUGGCGGGGAAACAGGACAUUUACUUUGAAAAAAUUAGAGUGCUCCAGGCAGGCCUAUGCUCGAAUACAUUAGCAUGGAAUAAUAAAAUAGGACGCGCGGUUCUAUUUUGUUGGUUUAUAGGACCGCCGUAAUGAUUAAUAGGGACAGUCGGGGGCAUCAGUAUUCAACUGUCAGAGGUGAAAUUCUUGGAUCAGUUGAAGACUAACUACUGCGAAAGCAUUUGCCAAGGAUGUUUUCAUUAAUCAGGAACGAAAGUUAGGGGAUCGAAGACGAUCAGAUACCGUCGUAGUCUUAACCAUAAACUAUGCCGACUAGGGAUCGGACGGUGUUAUUCAUGACCCGUUCGGCACCUUACGAGAAAUCAAAGUGCUUGGGCUCCAGGGGGAGUAUGGUCGCAAGGCUGAAACUUAAAGAAAUUGACGGAAGGGCACCACCAGGGGUGGAGCCUGCGGCUUAAUUUGACUCAACACGGGGAAACUCACCAGGUCCAGACACAAUAAGGAUUGACAGAUUGAGAGCUCUUUCUUGAUUUUGUGGGUGGUGGUGCAUGGACCGUUCUUAGUUGGUGGGGUGACUUGUCUGCUAUUGCGAUAACGAACGAGACUUAACCUGCUAAAUAGCCCGCAUUGCUCCGGCAGUGCGCUGGCUUCUUAGAG
rnacentral:rRNA from 1 species